AGUGUAUCCCUCUCCAGUGGCACCACCCUCAACUGCAGCUGACCAUGAUUGUUCUGGGCUCUGGGUUGCAAAACGGCACAGAUAAUGCUUCCAACGGGUGAUGCACACAACUCGCAGACGAACCAUGUAGGAUCUCGAGAAUUUUAUCUGGAAACCAAGGUCACGACGAAGUUGGGCCGCAGGAAACGGCAGGCAGAGGAUCGUUAGCAUAGGCAGGCAACUGAUCACUAGCCAGGCAUAGGAUCGUGAGCAUUGGCAGUGCAUGUACCGAGCGAAAAAUUGACUGACGGCAACUGUAGUUGAGUGCUGGAAACGCCAUCUUCUUCGCUAGACUGGGUCAGAUUUGUUGACAGACAAAUGGCAACGCCUGAGAAAAGAAAAGAAAAGAAAAGUGACCUGGAUAAUAUCUGCCUCAGUGAUGGUACACCAGAGAAUUGACUAUUUCUCAUCAUCCUCUGGUGAAGCCCACUGCUCGCACAGAUGGCAGCUUAAAAAGCAUCUUCUCAGACAUCACACGUAAAUUAACAUGCUUCCUACACAAAUGAUGACUAAUCUGUCUUGCCUCAUCAGUCAGGCCUGGUUGUGGUCCAAUUCGCAGUUUCUGUCCACGGCAAACCAUGCAUCAGUGGCUGAUAACAAAUCAGCAAAUGCUACGCUUGGUGCACGUACAAUAUUCCAGCCUUGGGUGUCCUCGACGAAUUAACUGAUGCUCGGCACGUAGCAAACAUAACCAGUGUCUUUGAUGAAGUGAGGUACCCGCGCCAGAGCUUGAAGAGGGGAUGGUCCAAAACGGGCACGUUGUCUUCACAAUGUGGCAUCGUCGCGUUUGAUACUUCGAUGGAGCCACUCUUGAGGCGAUCCGCUCCUCACGGGCGCCCAGUACCUCCCCUGAACCUCUAAUUUACUAUAGCACUUUUAUAGGAAAUUGAAAUUGGGUUCUCAUGUAUUCUGCACUUGAGACAUGUGGGUUUCGUGACUAACUUGAACAGUUCGAUAGUUCGCUAGCAACGGUUAGAGCAGGCAGCGAUCGUGGGGAGAGACAGGACACGUGCAGCACACCAAUCUCAAUUUCAUUUACUCCUAAUGUUAGCUGGUUUUCUAUUUACUUUGACAUCGCUAGUGGCUACUAAAAACCGGCGAGUUCAUUGACCUGUCUGAUAGUCCUUUCAAGGCCAGAGCAGGGCGAUGGAACAGCUGCAGUGCGAUGCUCAACGUCGUGGAGAUCUUCGAAAGAAUACCGAGAAUACGAAAAAAAUCUGCGAACAAACCAAGCGGCUUCUCAUGGUCGAAGAGACGAGUGCAGUACCGUCAUGUACGUUUAACUGCGGAAGCUUCAGAACGAAUCGAGAACAGAGCAACAUUGUAUACGGACUGGAGGUGUAUCAAAACACAUUGGAAGCCUGAGGGAUGGGGAGAGAGAGAGAGAGAGAGAGAAGGUGACCGGCGCGAGGAAUGAUCUUCGUGUAAUACGCAAAGUACUGAGAUGUUGAGAACUGAUAGAAUUGACAAGAAAGGAAUGUACAUGAGUGGUGCUACUUGCAAAACAAAUGCUAGAAUUUCGAACAAAAAUCCAAAAUCUGAGCACGCUGCACCUUGUACUUAAGUUCCUGUUGUUAGGGCUCUGCCUUUCAUUAGGUUCUGAAUGGGAAAAGUCAUCUCUAAGUACACAAGCAGAAAGGCGAGUACUUCUGCAUCCUGGCUGUUGAUUCCGCCAAGUUGAUAGUUCAUUCAAGGUCAGUAAGAAUUCAACACCUUGCGAAUGUGAUUGGUUGUGUGAGUCCCGUGCUCGAGGCUGGGUCACCUAUACAAGCAAGAUCAAUUUCGGUGUAAAUUAAAAUUUCAAUUAGAGAAACCUUUUCCAAGAACCACAACAGCUCUCGGUACUUGCAUUGUAAGCUGUGCUUUCUUAUGCAUGUUUCUGUGCAAUGAUGAUUGAACUACCACAAAA